GUCACCGUGGCCUAGUGGAUAGCGCUGCUGUUUUCGAAUUUAGGUCGCGGGUUCGAACCCCACCGUGGUCA